GCCGCCGCGCUGCGCUCCCCCCGGCCGGCCGCCUCUGCCGCUGUGCUCGGGCAGUCCCGAGCAGCCGUCGCUCCGCGCCCCCGCAGCUGUGCGGAAAUAGCUCCCCUCUCCCCCGUGCGCCGCUUCUGCUGGGGCUCUUAACGAGCGUGUGCAACGUUUUUACCUUCACCGACUUUCUUCACGUACACUGGGCAUCCACAAACUACUGCUGUGGUCUUGCGUGGUGCACCGUGUGCAGGCUGCUGAAGUACGCUGACUCGCAGAACGUGACGACAGACUCUGCUGAUGGCUGUCCCCUUGCACAGUAUCUUAUAUUGGAAAGAGAAGAGCCCAAGGAAUCGGCGACAGUCUCCCAGAUGACCCGUGCUCACUGAAGUCAGCAUUGCAGCUGGAAUGGAUCUUGGUGCAAGCAAAGGCAGGGAGGCUGGAAGAGUUGCAAGCACCCUAAUUCUCUGUGUAGUU
rnacentral:lncRNA from 1 species